UAAAAUUAUUUUAAAUAAUAUAUUAGAAAUGAAAUGUUAUUCGUUUUUAAAGGUAUCUAGUUUUUUAAGAAAUAAAUUUAAUUUAGAAAUUUUAUAUUAUUUAAUUUAAUUUUUAAUUAAAUAAGUAUUUAAUUUUAAUAUUUUAUGGGAUAAGCUAUAAAAUAAAUUUUUAAAAAUUAAUAAAAAAAAUAAUAAAUAUAAACUUAGAAAUAGUUAAUAUUAGUAAAAAUGUUAUAAUUUAUUAAUUAAUUUAUAUUAUUUAUUUAAUUUUAAAUUUUUAUUAAAAUAUUUAUUAUAAUUUCAAAAAUAAAAUAAUAAUGAUAAAAUUAGUAUAUUAAAUUGUUUAAAUAGAUAAAAAUGAAAAGUUUUUAUAAAGAACUCGGCAAAAUAAUAUUCGCCUGUUUAACAAAAACAUGUCUUUUUAGUUUAUUUAAAAGGUUUGACCUGCCCACUGAAAUUUAAAUGGCCGCAGUAUUUUAACUGUGCAAAGGUAGCAUAAUCAUUAGUCUUUUAAUUGAAGGCUGGUAUGAAUGGUUGGACGAAAUAUUAACUGUUUCAUUAUAAUUUUAUUUAGAAUUUUAUUUUUUAGUUAAAAAGCUAAAAUUUAUUUAAAAGACGAGAAGACCCUAUAAAUCUUUAUAUUUAAAUUAUAAUAUAUUUCAUAGAUUUUUUUUUUUAUUAUAAUUAAUAUUAUUUUAUUGGGGUGAUAUUAAAAUUUAUAAAACUUUUAAUUUUUAAUAUCAUUUAUUUAUGAUUUAUUGAUCCAUUUUUAAUGAUUAAAAAAUUAAGUUACUUUAGGGAUAACAGCGUAAUUUUUUUGGAAAGUUCUUAUUAAUAAAAAAGAUUGCGACCUCGAUGUUGGAUUAAGAUAUAAUUUUAGGUGUAGUUGCUUAAAUUUUAAGUCUGU
rnacentral:rRNA from 1 species